CUAGGAGUUUCUCAUUUUCAUAAGAGUGUCUCUGUUUGUCAGAGUGAUAUCAUCACCUGUUAAUUUCUACCAUUUUCUUCCUUCUUCCCCUUUCUCAUCUUUUAUCCCUUCACUUGCUUUCGUGGUUUCCUGAUCAUCCCUACCUUCUUGGGGGGAUUGCAGUAAGAUUCGGUUUUAAUCUCCUCUAUGGUUUUGUUUUUCACCGAUAAUGUUUGUGGUUCGCUUCACAAGUUCUUUGGCUGGCAUCAGGCAUCGUGAUGGUUUCCCUGGCUUCUCCGGUCCAUCUUCUUUGUGGGUGGUUGGCUAGGAUCGUUUCCUAUUACUGAAGGGGGUUGGUUCGCGUGUGUUGAUCGGUGGCCAACCGAAUGGCUUUUCUAUAUCAACUUUCCCAUUUGAUCCAGAUUCCCAUUGAUCAAUCUGUGGUACGCGUGGUGGUUCCACUAGUAGUCAUGGCCUCUGAGGUCUGGUUGGGUGGUGUUGUUUAUCUUUCUCUGGUGGAUUCGUGCUUGAUGCAUAGGAUUUUGAUCUCUUGUGGUGUUUCUGUGUAUCUGUUUUGGCUCUUGGUGUGGCCUUCACAUCGUCUUGUAUCGUCGUGUUGUUUGCAAGGGGUUUAGCAGUUAAAAUUGGGAAUACAUUUAGGGCUUUAGCGAAUCGCUCGGGUCACGAACCGUUUCUUUGAUGUGGUCAGCAAUGCGUGUAUUCCGGCCACCAUCGACUAUGGUUCGUGGUUUGGUAUUGCAAGAAAGUUUUGUCACGCUGGUCAAAGAAAGAGUUCUGGUGUUGCAAAGAUUUUGGGGGUUCACCAUUAUCAGAAUAGGUUGGAUGUUGUUGCUGAUAAUAGCGCUGAAGGAUGUUUGCCGGAAUACUGGCCGUACUUUAUGUUUCUAAAUCUAGCGAAUACUCGACGUCCUCUAAAUCUGUGUUGUAAUGAUUUGUGUCAGAUGAAGACGUCAAAGUCAACCUUUGGGUUUGGUGAUUGUGGCAUUGCCAUUACGAAAAGAAGCCUUCUUACGCUUCUGGAAUACGGUUUCCUUAUGUGGUUGAGAAUGCAAAAUGGGCAAGACUAUGUUGGGCCCAUGGCUUAUUACUGACUAAUGGACAUCAUGAUAGAGGUUUUCAAUUUCUUUACGGGGUUCUUGUAAGGAUAGCCCAUUCUCUUCUAGUUGGGCCGAUAAUUGUUGUUUCUUUUGUAAUUAGAUCUAACUUAAGAAAGCACUCCCAUUGUCUCUGAUACCCAUUAAAGCUUAAGGUUUUUGUUAACCUUGUUGGGUGUUAGUCUUGUUGUAGGGGACUUUUUAUCUCGUGUUUUCUCUAGUUUAUCAGUGGUGCUUUGA